GGUCCUUUCUGCAAUGGGAAAGACUACCAAUAAGCUUUUGCUGGUAAUCCUCACUUAAUUUACCGUUUUAUCUUUUGUUUUGUAUCCAUUAAUUUCUUGGACCGUAGAAAUAAAGGGUUUGUUAAGAAAUUGAUUUUUGCUUGAUGAUUGGGCUGGAGAGAAGGCUGUUAGGUGUGGCGUCACUAAUGUAGAUGGUUUAGAAGAGUUGAGCUUUAUACAAGAGCUGCAUCAUAGGACGGCCGAUGAGCUUGGAGCGGCAAGGUCAAUUGUCAAUGGUCACCUGGAAGUGCUGGAGCAGCUCUUAAAGGGAAUUGCUAUGAUGAAAGAGUUAACUUUAGGG